rnacentral:tRNA from 1 species
GCCGAUGUGGCUCAGGGGUAGAGCAAUUCACUCGUAAUGAAUAGGUCGUGAGUUCGAUUCUCACCAUCGGCUCCA